rnacentral:rRNA from 1 species
UGGGGAAUAUUGCACAAUGGGCGCAAGCCUGAUGCAGCCAUGCCGCGUGUAUGAAGAAGGCCUUCGGGUUGUAAAGUACUUUCAGCGAGGAGGAAGGCAUUAAGGCUAAUAACCUUAGUGAUUGACGUUACUCGCAGAAGAAGCACCGGCUAACUCCGUGCCAGCAGCCGCGGUAAUACGGAGGGUGCAAGCGUUAAUCGGAAUUACUGGGCGUAAAGCGAACGCAGGCGGUCUGUCAAGUCGGAUGUGAAAGCCCCGGGCUCAACCUGGGAACUGCAUUCGAAACUGGCAGGCUAGAGGCUUGUAGAGGGGGGUAGAAUUCCAGGUGUAGCGGUGAAAUGCGUAGAGAUCUGGAGGAAUACCGGUGGCGAAGGCGGCCCCCUGGACAAAGACUGACGCUCAGGUGCGAAAGCGUGGGGAGCAAACA